UACGGGGGAGCAAGCGUUGUUCGGAUUUACUGGGCGUAAAGGGCGCGUAGGCGGCGCAACAAGUCACUUGUGAAAUCUCCGGCUUAACCGGAGCGGUCAAGUGAUACUGUCGUGCUAGAGUGCGGAAGGGCUACUGGAAUUCUCGGUGUAGCGGUGAAAUGCGUAGAUAUCGAGAGGAACCACCCGUGGCGAAGGCGGCCCCC
rnacentral:rRNA from 1 species